rnacentral:lncRNA from 1 species
UAAACUUAAACAUAUAAUGAAUGGGAUAGGCUUUUUGGCUCUCGGCUCACUAAACAACUUCAUCUUGAAUAUGUGUUAUGCAAAUUAAUAACAUGCUUUGUAUGAAAUAGGUAUGAGUUCUAGCAUUUGGAACUAAAUGAUGAAACACCUUCUAAGUAGCAACCAAGCAAAGAAUAAUGAGAUCAUGCAAUGACUUUAGAAAACAAUGAUGCACAGUUUAUUAACUCUCCAAAUAAACGUUUAGGCUCAAGUCUCACAAGGUUGUGGCGUACAUUUGAGUUCCUUCUUUCAAGCAUGUUACAAAACUGAUUUUUCCUUUAUGAUUGCAUGUGAAUUCAUAAAUUAUAACCACAACCAAGCAUACACCAAAGAGUAAAUCAAAUGUUCAUCCAUGUUUAUAACUCUCUUUAACAGUCAUGUAAUUAAAAACCAAAUCCUCAUCAUUGUGUUGGAAGGUACCCUAAGACACAUACAAAAACAACUCUUUUUGGUUUUUUUUUUCAAAACAAUUUUUCAAAUUUUUAUGAGAUUUUCAUGUCAAAACACACUAAAAUACUCCAAAAUAGCUUAAAAACACUUAAAACAGCAAGGAACAACACUAAAAGUAAUGGGUGAUAAACUCUUACGAAUUUCAUGCAAAACAACUUGGUUACCCCCCCCACACUUAAAUCAAACAUUGUCCUCAAUGUUUUAAGCAUAAACUCACACAAAAACAAGCAAACAAACAAUUAACGAAUAAACAUGACAAAUAUGGCAAAGUAAAAACCAGACAGAGUAGAGUUUAAGAAUGCAAAUUUGGUUUUGGAGAUAGAUGAUCUUGUUGACUUUCCACAGCUUUGAUCUCGAACUAGUUUGGAAUUCUGAGCGAGAAAUAUGAGAGUUCCUUGGUUUCAAAUCAGACUCCUUCUGCUGGGAUGAUUUGAUUGUGCAGUCUGCAUUCUUCUCUGCUUGUUUCUUCUGCACGGCGGGUAGGCACGAGGUAAAGGUGUUGGUCUGUUUCUUUCUUCAAUCUUUCCAAGUGCCCACCUCUUGCUUUCUUUCUCCUUGUCCCUAGCUGAGGAUGAAUUGGUAAAUUAGCUCCACAUGCUUCUAGGUAUCAUUUUCACUUCCCUUAUCUGUUCCUCAGGCAGAUGUGGUAGACG